AGCAGUAGCCGCGGGAAUACGUAGGGUGCAAGCGUUAAUCGGAAUUACUGGGCGUAAAGCGUGCGCAGGCGGUUAUAUAAGACAGAUGUGAAAUCCCCGGGCUCAACCUGGGAACUGCAUUUGUGACUGUAUAGCUAGAGUACGGCAGAGGGGGAUGGAAUUCCGCGUGUAGCAGUGAAAUGCGUAGAUAUGCGGAGGAACACCGAUGGCGAAGGCAAUCCCCUGGGCCUGUACUGACGCUCAUGCACGAAAGCGUGGGGAGCAAACAGGAUUAGAUACCCGCGUAGUCCCUGUCUCUUAUAA
rnacentral:rRNA from 1 species